rnacentral:rRNA from 1 species
UACGGAGGGUGCGAGCGUUGUCCGGAGUUACUGGGCGUAAAGGGCGUGUAGGCGGUUAGUUAAGUCUGGCGUGAAAGCUCUCGGCUAAACCGGGAGAGGUCGUCGGAUACUGGCAAACUAGAGGACGGUAGAGGCGUGUGGAAUUCCGGGUGUAGUGGUGAAAUGCGUAGAGAUCCGGAGGAACACCAGUGGCGAAGGCGACACGCUGGGCCGUACCUGACGCUAAAGCGCGACAGCAUGGGGAGCGAACGGG